UACGUAGGUGGCAAGCGUUGUCCGGAUUUACUGGGUGUAAAGGGCGUGCAGCCGGAGAGACAAGUCAGAUGUGAAAUCCACGGGCUCAACCCGUGAACUGCAUUUGAAACUGUUUCCCUUGAGUGUCGGAGAGGUAAUUGGAAUUCCUUGUGUAGCGGUGAAAUGCGUAGAUAUAAGGAAGAACACCAGUGGCGAAGGCGGAUUACUGGACGAUAACUGACGGUGAGGCGCGAAAGCGUGGGGAGCAAACAGG
rnacentral:rRNA from 1 species